rnacentral:rRNA from 1 species
AAUCAACGCUGGCGGCGUGCCUAACACAUGCAAGUCGAACGAGAAAGGGGGCUUCGGUCCCUGAGUACAGUGGCGCACGGGUGAGUAACACGUGACUUAUCUACCCUCGAGUGGGGAAUAACUUCGGGAAACCGAGGCUAAUACCGCAUAAUACCCACGGGUCAAAGGAGCAAUUCGCUUGAGGAGGAGGUCGCGGCCGAUUAGUUAGUUGGCGGGGUAAUGGCCCACCAAGACGGUGAUCGGUAUCCGGCCUGAGAGGGCGCACGGACACACUGGAACUGAAACACGGUCCAGACUCCUACGGGAGGCAGCAGUGGGGAAUAUUGCGCAAUGGGGGAAACCCUGACGCAGCAACGCCGCGUGGAGGAUGAAGUCUCUUGGGACGUAAACUCCUUUCGAUCGGGACGAUUAUGACGGUACCGGAAGAAGAAGCCCCGGCUAACUUCGUG